AUGGGCCGGCUGCUGGGGGAGGGCGACUGUCUCCUCUGCGGCGACGCCGACGCUCCCCGGCGCGGCGGCGCGGGGCUGGACGAGGGGGGGGAAGCUCGAGGCCGUGGUGAAGGUGAAUGCCUUUUGUUUUGGGGUGGAGAACGUGUUUCCCUGUUGGAUCUGCUGGGAGGAGACCCCUUCCUGUGCUUGGAAGAUUCGGAAGGGGAGCGCCGCUUCGCGGUCGGGGAGCUCCUCUGUUUUGGCGGUGGGGAGUGGGAGACUCUGCGCUUGGACUGGGGGGAAGGGGAGGCCCUUCUUUUGGGAGGGGGAGGAGGAGAGGCUGUUCUCCUUUUGGGAGGGGGAGAUGGGGAAUAUCUCCUCUGGAUCGGGGGGGAGUAUCUCCGUGGGGAGGGAGAACGUCUGCGCGGGGGGGGAGAUGGAGACCUGCAAAGAGAACAAACAUUCAGGACACGUUCCCAGGCAUGGCAGUCAGUGCACCCAAAGAGGGGGAAAAGGACUCUAGCGUUCUUGAAAGUCCCAAAAAUUUAACUAGAAUUCCUUAGAAGUUUUAAGAGUUUAAAAUAAAACUGUUUAAAAGUUGUUACCCAGAAAGGUUGUGGUUGUCCCAUCCCUGGAAGUGUCCAAGCUGGACAAGGCCUGGAGCAAUGUGGGCUAGUGGAAGGUGUCCCUGAUGAUCUUUAAGGUCCCUCCCAACCCAACCCAACCCAACCCAACUCAUCCCACGGUUCUGUGAUUCCGAAUUUGCAGCAGCAACCCAAUGACAUGCAGACCGUGCACCCACCAAGAAUGUGGGCUAGUGGAAGGUGUCCCUGAUGAUCUUUAAGGUCCCUCCCAACCCAACCCAACCCAACCCAACUCAUCCCACGGUUCUGUGAUUCCGAAUUUGCAGCAGCAACCCAAUGACGUGCAGACCGUGCACCCACCACAGCCAACCUCACAGCACAACACAGCCCCCUCAGCUUCCCAGUGAGGAGCUGGGAGCAGGGCCCUCUGCCCACGCCCGGAGCAGCAGCGAUGGUCGCUGCGGUCGGUACCUGCGGCGGGGCGGGGACGGCGAGCGGCGGCGCCGGGGCGGCGGGGGGGGGGGGGGGGGGGGGGGGGGGGGGGGGGGGGGGGGGGGGGGGGGGGGGGGGGGGGGGGGGGGGGGGGGGGGGGGGGGGGGGGGGCCGGGGCGGCGGCGCCGGGGAAGGGGAGCGGCGCCGGCGCGCGGGGGGCGGCGAGGGGCUCCUCCUCCUCCUGCUGCAGGGAACAGGCACAGGUCAGGGAACUGCCAGCUGAGCCACCAGCUGCUCUGGGCUCUGCUUUCACCACACAAAAUCUGCUCCUUCAUGCACCUUGUAAUGGAAUUCUACUGGGAGCACUAAUGGAAAGAAAUGUGCUGAAAUCUUCCUGGAGAGUGGGAAAUGGUGAGUGUUUGAUUGUGACCCUGGGGCCACCAGGGGUGUCUGACUGUGACCCUGAGCCCACAACAGGUGUCUUACUGUGACCCUGAGUCCAUCACAGGUGCCUGUGACCCUGAAUCCAUCACAGG
rnacentral:lncRNA from 1 species